rnacentral:lncRNA from 1 species
GUGUCAUGGAUGACAUGGUUGUGGUUGUAGAUGUUUUGGUUUGCUUAAGCUUUGUUUUGCGUGGACGACAUGAUUAUGGUUGUGGUAGGUAUGUUCAGUCUAGUCGUUUGAAUGUAAGGGCUACUUUGAGGCCAAGGUUAGGAUGGACGUGGUUAACAUAACAGUAUUGUGGGUUGUGUUUUGUUGUGGACCUGCUUGUUUAGGGUGUGUAUGUCGUGAAAGUGUUGUUGUGGUUAAGUGGGUGUGGUUAGUGUGACAGGUUUAGUGGUCUGAUUGUGGUGCAAGACGGGUGUUGUGGUUCAUUAUGGAUGACAUGUUGGUGGUUGGCAUGUGGUAAACAAGAAGCUUUAGUGGAGUGUGUUAUGACUUAGUUAUGAAGGUGGUGUAGUGGUUGUGGUCAGUUUCAAUUUUGUAGUAGAGGAAUAAUUCAAUUUUAGGGUGUGAUUAUGGUCUGGGUUUGAGAUUAGGUGGGUGAAGUGUCAUGGAUGACACGGUUGUGGUUGUAGAUGUUUUGGUUUGCUUAAGCUUUUUUUUGCAUGGACGAUAUAAUUAUGGUUGUGGUAGGUAUGUUCAGUCUAGUCGUUUGAAUGUAGGGGCUACUUUGAGGCCAGGGUUAGGAUGGACGUGGUUAACAUAACAAUAUUGUGGGUUGUGUUUUGUUGUGGACCUGCUUGUUUAGGGUGUGUAUGUCGUGAAAGUGUUGUUGUGGUUAAGUGGGUGUGGUUAGUGUGAAGCUUUUCUGGGCUGAGAAACGUAAAAAUCUCAAGAAUUUCUGAGACGAUGAUAUGGUGAAACAGAGAUGCAAAUUCGGAGAGGAGAGACAGGAAAUCAAAGAGACAAGGGUUUGGGGAGGUUUGAUUUGGACCGGAACGCUAAAGAACUUAUGGGGCGACAAGCGGAAGGCGAGACGAUGCUAUGGUGAAACAGAGAGGGGGAUUCGGAGAGGAGAAUCAGAAAAUCGAAGAGAGAAGGGUUGGGGGAGGUCUGAUUUGAGUUCAAUUUCAGAUCAUUUUUCUGAGGAGAAGACACUG